rnacentral:rRNA from 1 species
UACGUAGGGUGCGAGCGUUAAUCGGAAUUACUGGGCGUAAAGCGUGCGCAGGCGGUUUUGUAAGCCAGAUGUGAAAUCCCCGGGCUCAACCUGGGAAUGGCAUUUGGGACUGCAAGGCUUGAGUGCGGCAGAGGAGACUGGAAUUCCUGGUGUAGCAGUGAAAUGCGUAGAUAUCCGGAGGAACACCGGUGGCGAAGGCGGCUUCCUGGACCGACACUGACGCUGAGGCGCGAAAGCUAGGGGAGCAAACGGG